rnacentral:rRNA from 1 species
GUAGGGAAUAUUGGACAAUGGGGGGAACCCUGAUCCAGCCAUGCCGCGUGGAGGAAGACUGCCCUCUGGGUUGUAAACUCCUUUUAUAUGGGAAGAACCGUCCUCAUUAAUGAGUGACCUGACGGUACCAUAGGAAUAAGCACCGGCUAACUCCGUGCCAGCAGCCGCGGUAAUACGGAGGGUGCAAGCGUUAUCCGGAUUCACUGGGUUUAAAGGGUGCGUAGGCGGAUAAAUAAGUCAGUGGUGAAAUCAACGGGCUCAACCUGUUAACUGACAUUGAUACUGUGUAUCUUGAAUAUGAGAGAGGUAGGCGGAAUGUUGCAUGUAGCGGUGAAAUGCUUAGAUAUGCUACGGAACACCGAUUGCGAAGGCAGCUUACUAUUUCGUAAUUGACGCUGAGGCACGAAAGCGUGGGUAGCGAACAGGAUUAGAACCCCUUGUAGUCC